UACGUAGGGUGCAAGCGUUAAUCGGAAUUACUGGGCGUAAAGCGUGCGCAGGCGGCUAUGCAAGACAGAUGUGAAAUCCCCGGGCUCAACCUGGGAACUGCAUUUGUGACUGCAUCGCUGGAGUGCGGCAGAGGGGGAUGGAAUUCCGCGUGUAGCAGUGAAAUGCGUAGAUAUGCGGAGGAACACCGAUGGCGAAGGCAAUCCCCGCGGC
rnacentral:rRNA from 1 species